AUAUCUCUCUGUACGGGAAGGAUGAGAAGCUUCGACCAAGGUUCGAUUCGAGCGCAGCGAGAAAGCGUUGCCGCAGGCAACGACCCGAAGGGCGAAGCGCGCAGCGCUGAGUCAUCCUUCCCCACCACCA
rnacentral:sRNA from 1 species